rnacentral:rRNA from 1 species
AUACGUAGGGGGCGAGCGUUGUCCGGAAUGAUUGGGCGUAAAGGGCGCGCAGGCGGCACGGUAAGUCUGGAGUGAAAGUCCUGUUUUUAAGAUGGGAAUAGCUUUGGAUACUGUCGGGCUUGAGUGCAGGAGAGGUGAGUGGAAUUCCCAGUGUAGCGGUGGAAUGCGUAGAGAUUGGGAAAAACACCAGUGGCGAAGGCGACUUACUGGACCGUAACUGACGCUGAGGCGCGAAAGUGUGGGGAGCAAACAGGAUUAGAUACCCUGGUAGUCCACACUGUAAACGAUGAAUGCUAGGUGUAGGGGGUAUCGACCCCUUCUGUGCCGCAGUCAACACAAUAAGCAUUCCGCCUGGGGAGUACGGCCGCAAGGUUGAAACUCAAAGGAAUUGACGGGG